rnacentral:rRNA from 1 species
UACGGGGGGAGCAAGCGUUGUUCGGAUUUACUGGGCGUAAAGGGCGCGUAGGCGGCCACCGCAAGUCGACUGUGAAAUCUCCGGGCUUAACCCGGAAAGGUCAGCCGAUACUGCGGGGCUAGAGUGCAGAAGGGGCAACUGGAAUUCUCGGUGUAGCGGUGAAAUGCGUAGAUAUCGAGAGGAACACCGGUGGCGAAGGCGACAUCCUGGACCGGUAUUGACGCUGAGGCGCGAAAGCCAGGGGAGCAAACGGG